rnacentral:rRNA from 1 species
UACGUAGGGGGCUAGCGUUGUCCGGAAUCAUUGGGCGUAAAGCGUACGCAGGCGGCUAUUCAAGUCGGGUGUGAAAGCCCAGGGCUCAACCCUGGAAAUGCGCCCGAGACUGGAUGGCUUGAGUGCGGGAGAGGGAAGCGGAAUUCCUGGUGUAGAGGUGAAAUUCGUAGAUAUCAGGAGGAACACCGGUGGCGAAAGCGGCUUCCUGGCCCGACACUGACGCUCAUGUACGAAAGCGUGGGGAGCAAACAGG